UUUGCAUUGGAACAACUUAUCAUGUCGUGCAAAGGGGAUCGUGUCGAUCCGUCUCGAUGAUAAUCACAGUUUGUGUUUGGUUUCUCACCUCCUCAUUAUUAAAACUUCCAAAUGCUAGAGUUUAAAACUUCUUAGCAUUUCUGUAGCUAUCUGUUAUCUCUUUUGACUAAAGAGAAUCUGGGCAUCUUGUGGUCAUUGUGGUCGCAAAUUUCUGAACCUUUGGCUUCCUAUGCAGCUCGAGUAGAUCACUGCUGAGAGCUUGUAGCAUGGCAGUUUUAUAGCAAGCAGUGUCUUUAGUUGCAUGUGUGGACUUUGUCAUAGCAAUCUCAUAGACUUGGUGAUCGGGCCAAUGGGAAACUAAUUUGCAGGAUAAACUUUUCCAUAGAGCUUGAGGCAAAUGUCUAUCCCAGUUGAUGGCUAGCUCAUGAACAUAUAGCUGAUAUAAUGGAGAUUUUUGGUUUCUACAUAUCAGGCCAAUUUGACAUGUGUUUGUCUUGUUCAAGUUGGAACAUUGUUCUUGCUAGAAAUGGGAAAGAUAUAUUCGUUCCUCACUCAGUAUAUUAUUUACGAUUUCAAUAUCUCAUUCUUGUGUUCCAUUUUCAUCUUGAUUUAUCUAGAAGUAGGGAAGCAAUACACAAGAUUGACUAGCUGCAUGAACACUACAUAGCGGAUGCUGCAUCAGAUCAAAAUGGCUUGAGGGUCAUAUGAUUGUUAAACUCUUUCUUCAAGUUUGUGGUUCUAAGUUACCGGCGAAGAACAUGGAGGUCUUGAGUACAGCCCAAGGCACAAAGAAUGAGAAUCAUCGGCCUGCAACGGGCCUAAUUUGUGCAGUGCACGAGGGAUCUCGACAAUGGUUAUGAACUGGUCUUCUAGGAGCUUUAACUGCUGAUUGGGGGUUCAACGAUCUGCUGAUCUAUUGAGGCAUGAAGAAAUGGUCAGCUUUGUGAUUGGGUACUACGUGAAGUUACUCAUUGACAUAUUGUGUGGCGAUUCACUUCUUUUUAAUUCUCUGUUUAUUUGCCCAUUUUGGUGAUUGUUUCCUCUCCCCUGUUCUAUUUCAUUUUUGGGUCUCCUGAAGUUGUUCUAGCUUACCUGCCAGAAAUUAAGCUGAUGCAGGUGUGAAAUUGCUAGUUGGGAUGUGCAGACACCAAUUUUAUUGAAGUGACAGAAAUGGGCACCGAUUUGCUCCUAUGGCAUGACUAGUAAAGAAUGGCAGAAGCCCAAUGUCUCUUCUGAUGUGUGGAGGAUUCAAUGACAGGUAUCAUCAAAAUUUCUGAUGAUGCAAAGAAAACCAAAAACACAGUACUGAAGAUUGGUGUUGCUACUUGUUAGAAGCAUGCACCGGCUUAUUGUCUCGAAUUAGAGUCUGAGAGCACUAGUUGGCCUGUGGUAAGGAAAAUCCAGGAACUUCCAUAUAGUGCAUCAUCUCAAUGGUGUGCUGCUUGGAGAUUGAUUAGGCUGGACCAGAUCACCUCCUAGGAUGUUCUACUCAGAUUAUUUCAGAAGAUGAAUCUGGUCUCUCGCAAUUCUCGUUCACACAAGCAAACAGUUGUGUUUUUUGUGCUCUCUUCCUAGAAUAAUAAUGCUUUAACAAGUGUUGUAUUUUCCUGUUUCAGCUUGGUGCAUUUUAGAACGUAAUCAGGCCGAGGAAGUCAUAGAAGAGCAAGCAUGCUUCCAUUCAAAAGCAAGUGAUGAGUAGUACCAAUGGUUGGUGGCAAAUGGCUAUCAAUCUGGUAUUUCAAGUCAUGCGAUACCUUGAAACAGGAGCUCAUCAGCAUUAAGAUGUGGUUUUGCUUCGGCAAGAGUUUGUUUGCACGGAUAUAGUGCAUGGAGAUGAUGGAUUGUUGCAAAUAGCCACUUCAUUCCGAACUUCUAAAGCUGUUGCAAUUUCUUGUACUCGUGCAUGCCGUGUGGCACUGUUGCUGAAUAACCUUCCAGUAAACAGUUAUCAAUAACGCGUGGUGUUGCGGACUCUGAGCUGGAGGUUUCUAUCAGACAGCAAUCCAUUGGCACAGCCUUUCAAGAUGUAUUGUUCUUAGGCUUCAUUAGCAUUCAGGUGAUGUGACAACGAUUCCAAGGUCACAAAGGAGUGUUUUGAUACUGUUCGACUGCUAAACAUGAACUCACGAGUAAAUGCCAUCUGAUUAGGGUUUACAUUCAGAGUGGAUCAGUCUUCCUUGCCGUUAUGUUUCUUGCUGGCAGUAUUGAACUCAACGAGUUGUACGGAGGAAAGCUACUCCAUGACAGAGGUCGCGUGCAAAUGCAACUUAUGAUGUCAACUGUUGUCGCCUCGUGGCUCUCUUCUGUUCUUUCUCCCUUCAAAGUGAAAGGUACGUUUUUGUCAAUAAGACGACGAACCCAUUGAAGAAAGAAAGGCAAGCCGCCUGGUUGGAAACAUUGGGAGCCCAUUCAGAACGUCCAGUGACGUUCUUCAUGACGACCAUCUUCAUCAAUAUUCAAAUUGUUGAAGUUUGAGCAAAGCACUAACUCAUUCUACUAAGAGACAGUCAAGAUCUGCCCAAUCGCACAUUAUGUUAGUGGUGAGUCCAAGCUUUGGGUUAGGUGUCUGCGGUAGAAUGCCAAAAGGAGUCCACGAGUCCAAACCUAAUUUCAAAGAGCAUGAGCUUUCACCAGUUACCAACGCCGCCCUUAGAGAGAGCUCAUGCAUUUUGACCUUACCAGAACGUGUGGGAAAGAUGACAGAUCCUCUACCAUCUUUAGUCUUGUUAGCUCUGAUCUCCUUAAUAAACAACCCCAAUUAAGUGCACAACAUGUUUGACAAAAUCUUGUCCAAGCACAAAUUAUGUUCUUUGUCGUUUUACUUUUA